GGUUUUCUGAGGGAGUUGGAAAGAGAUAAGAGAGAGACCUUGGGGAACAAUUUUAAAGUGGCUCAAUAGCGAUCGCAGAGCCAAACUCAUACCUACAUCAAUGUGGUGCAGAGAAUCUCUAAGAAUUUUUAAUGCUGAAUUGGAGCAAAGAAACUUCAAGGAGGAAGCAAAGUGAAGAACACAGAUUUCACAGAUGGGAUGCCUGGCUCAAAUUCCAGCUUGACCGCUGGUAGCUGUGUGACCCUCGGCAAGUUACUUGACCUCUCUCUACUCAGUGUCCUCAUCUGUCAGAUUUUGGUAUCUGACUGAUGCUGUCUUCGUGGAAUGAGUUAGGAAAGAGUCCCUCCUCGUCAACUGUUGGGAAUACAUUCAGCAGGGUUGGUAUCAUUGCAUGUCUGGCAGAAUUUGACUAGGAAUCCAUCUGGUCCAGGAUUUUUUUUGUUGGUGUAAUGAGAUUCACUGAAGAAUUCUCAGAGUGGAAUGAGCAACAGAUUUUCAUUAGCGAAAGCUCCUCUAGCUGCUGCAUGAAAUGAUGUCUAGACAGAGAAAUGCGUAAAUGGCGACAGUAGAGCCAGCCUUCAUGAAUCCAGAAAUGUGAGCCACAUUUUGAGGAUAGCAGAGUCACUGCAGAAGCCUGGAUCCUUGCAUAACCUUGUCGAGUGGGAAAAUCUACCCAUACUUGACCAACCACCUAACUGGGGGCUCUACAUCUGAGAGAAAUGAUUUUUUAUCUUAUUUAAGCCACUGUAGUUAGGAGUCAGUUUAUUACAGGACAUUGCCUGGUGUUCCAACAAAUAAACUACCUUAUUUGUUUCAAUAAAUAAAGUGGCUUUUAUUUACUAUUUUGGGGAUGGCUAAAAAAUUAUCAA
rnacentral:lncRNA from 1 species